rnacentral:rRNA from 1 species
UCGGGAAUAUUGCGCAAUGGAGGAAACCCUGAUGCAGCGACGCCGCGUGGAGGAAGAAGGUCUUCGGAUUGUAAACUCCUGUUGUUGAGGAAGAUAAUGACGGUACUCAACAAGGAAGUGACGGCUAACUACGUGCCAGCAGCCGCGGUAAAACGUAGGUCACAAGCGUUGUCCGGAAUUACUGGGUGUAAAGGGAGCGCAGGCGGGAAGACAAGUUGGAAGUGAAAUCUAUGGGCUCAACCCAUAAACUGCUUUCAAAACUGUUUUUCUUGAGUAGUGCAGAGGUAGGCGGAAUUCCCGGUGUAGCGGUGGAAUGCGUAGAUAUCGGGAGGAACACCAGUGGCGAAGGCGGCCUGCUGGGCUUUAACUGACGCUGAGGCACGAAAGCGUGGGUAGCAAACAGGAUUAGAUACCCUGGUAGUCCACGCUGUAAACGAUGAUUACUAGGUGUGGGGGGUCUGACCCCUUCCGUGCCGGAGUUAACACAAUAAGUAUUCCACCUGGGGAGUACGACCGCAAGGUUGAAACUCAAAGGAAUUGACGGGGGCCCGCACAAGCAGUGGAUUAUGUGGUUUAAUUCGACGCAACGCGAAGAACCUUACCAGGACUUGACAUCCAACUAACGAAGUAGAGAUACAUCAGGUGCCCUUCGGGGAAAGUUGAGACAGGUGGUGCAUGGUUGUCGUCAGCUCGUGUCGUGAGAUGUUGGGUUAAGUCCCGCAACGAGCGCAACCCUUAUGGUCAGUUACUACGCAAGAGGACUCUGGCCAGACUGCCGUUGACAAAACGGAGGAAGGUGGGGAUGACGUCAAAUCAUCAUGCCCUUUAUGACUUGGGCUACACACGUACUACAAUGGCGUUAAACAAAGAGAAGCAAGACCGCGAGGCAGAGCAAACCCCCAAAAGCCGUCCCAGUUCGGAUUGUAGGCUGCAACUCGCCUGCAUGAAGUCGGAAUCGCUAGUAAUCGCGGAUCAGCAUGCCGCGGUGAAUACGUUCCC